GCAUUCUUCUGCAUGCUGACCUCCAGUUGAACCAGCACCAUUUGUUGAAAAGACCCAGGUGAAUCUCUGUGAGUCUGAGGCCAACCCUGGUAAGACCCUGUUUUGAAAACAGCAGCAGCAGCAGCAGCAACAACAACAACAACAACAACAACAGCCUGGAGUGAAACUUUCAAAUGAUACGACUUACAGACUUAUAUAUGCCCCAAAUUUGAUACUGGGAUCUAAUCAUCACUGAUUUAAAAAGAAGAAAUCUUAGGAGAUCUUAUCUGGUGACCAGCUCAAGAUACUUGAAGGAACUGUGAAGGAAUGUUUAGGACCUCAUAAUAUGAAAUGGGAAAUACAGGGACAAAGAGUGGAGCAGAGACUGAAGGAAAGGCCAUCCAGAGACUGCCCCACCUGGGGAUCCAUGCCAGAUGCAGCUACCAAACCCAGACACUAUUGUUGAUGCCAAGAAGUGCUUCCUGACAGGAGACUGAAAUGGAUAUCUCCUGAGAGGCUUUGCCAGAGCCUGACAAAUACAGAUGCAGCGGCUCACAGCCAACCAUCGGACUGAACACAGGGUCCCCAAUAGAGGAGUUAGGGGAAGGACUGAAGGAGCUAAAGGGUUUGCAUAGGAAACCCCAUAGGAAGAACAACAAUAUCAACCAACCAGACACCCCAGAGCUCCCAGGGACUAAACCACUAACCAAAGAGUACACAUGGAGGGACUCAUGGCUCCAGCCACAUAUGUAGCAGAGGAUGGCCUUGUCGGACAUCAAUGGGAGGGGAGGCCCUUGGUCCUGUGAAGGCUUGAUGCCCCAGCGUAGGGGAAUGCUAGGGCGGUGGGGCGGGAGUGGGUGGAGGAGCACCCUCAAGG